rnacentral:tRNA from 1 species
UCCCUGAUAGCUCAGUUGGUAAAGACCCCGCCUGUAAUGCAGGAGACCCCAGUUCAAUUCCUGGGUCGGGGAG